AUACGGAGGAUGCGAGCGUUAUCCGGAUUUAUUGGGUUUAAAGGGAGCGUAGGUGGGAUAUUAAGUCAGCUGUGAAAGUUUGGGGCUCAACCUUAAAAUUGCAGUUGAUACUGGUUUCCUUGAGUACGGUAUAGGUGGGCGGAAUUCGUGGUGUAGCGGUGAAAUGCUUAGAUAUCAUGAAGAACUCCGAUCGCGAAGGCAGCUCACCGGGCCGGAACUGACACUGAUGCUCGAAAGUGCGGGUAUCAAACAGGAUUAGAUACCCUGGUAGUCCGCACAGUAAACGAUGAAUACUUGGUUUCGGCGAUAUAAUGUCGGAGGCAAAGCGAAAGCGAUAAGUAUUCCACCUGGGGAGUACGCCGGCAACGGUGAAACUCAAAUGAAUUGACGGGG
rnacentral:rRNA from 1 species